GUUAUGAGGAUGUGAAGGAAGAAAUUAAAAAUGAAAUUGAAAAAGAAAUACUUGAAGAUCUUGAAGAGGAAAGUGACGAAUUAAAUGAUAAAAGUAAAGAAAUCAAUGAUGCAAAGCCAUGGAGAUGGGUACGA
rnacentral:lncRNA from 1 species